UUUUAUUGAAGGUUUUUCUAAAAAAAAAAUUAAUUUUCCUAUUAAGCUUACACUUACAGGGAGAUUCGCAUAAAUAAAAAAAACAAACUUUUUUGCACUUUCGCUCCAACUGCUCGCGCGAGGGAGAUCCUUCUCUUCGCUGCUCCUCCUUCUCCUUCGCUGCUCCUCACUCCAUUCAAUACGGUUUUGGUUUUUCGAAUUUGGGAUCAGUUUUAGUGGUUUUAUAACAAGGUUUUGAGGGCAAGCAAUAAUAAGGUGUUUGGAAGGGUGCUAUGAUGGAAUUUCAAGAAGUUAUUAUGCUGGUGGAAAUGACCUGGAUUAAGCUAGUAGAAAUGAUAAAUAAGAGAGCUAGUUCUUGGAAUCAAGGUCUAUGGUGAUUAGUGGUUCGAUUGAUGUAAUACAGAAAAAUUAUUAUAGGUUAUUUCAUUGUGAUUGGAUUAUAGGGUUGAGCUCGAUUCAUUCAUCUGCUCAUGUCGAUGCUUGAUUCACUCUUCGUUAAGGGGUCUCUGUCUUUGACUUUUUGAGGUUGCAUUUUUUUUAUGUGGGAAGAAGACUAUCUUGAAGAGCAACCAUUCUCAUGGUUUCCAGAACAUUGAAGGUGCUCCCAAUUAUUGCUAGGGGUAUUUGGCAUUUUUCAAAACUGGCAGCCUACAACGAUGUAGAAUUAUUGGAUGAGAUUCGAGAACAACAGGCUAAGUUUUUUAGACUUAUUUUUUUGUUGAAAGACUAGUUAUCUUAUUAAUCGAUAUUAUGAUUAAUCUCAUUUAGCUUAAUAAAACAAUAAUGUAGCACAUUUCUAUAAAUCUACUUUUAUUUAGCCUAGUGUUAUUGUUAUUACAUUUAUAAAUUAUAAAUCAAUGAUUGUUUUAUUCAAGUUUUAAUUGUUUUUUGAAAAGUAUAGUUAAUUUUGUUGCAUUGUAUUGUUGUGGAUGAAUAAUUCCAGUUGUGUGGAAUUAUUUGGAGUGUUUGUAUUGUAUGUUAUGGGUGAAUUUAAGUUAUAUGGAAGUAUUCGGUACGUGUUUUGUUUGUUGAAUUGUAACAGGUUGUAACCCAUUUGACGAUGGGACGUUUGGUAGGAUAUACUACCAUUUUUGUAUUCGAAUCAAA